rnacentral:piRNA from 1 species
UACCAGCGAGACUGAGAUAUCCAGAG